AGUGAACGCUGGCGGUAGGCCUAACACAUGCAAGUCGAACGGCAGCACAGUAAGAGCUUGCUCUUACGGGUGGCGAGUGGCGGACGGGUGAGGAAUACAUCGGAAUCUACUUUUUCGUGGGGGAUAACGUAGGGAAACUUACGCUAAUACCGCAUACGACCUACGGGUGAAAGCAGGGGAUCUUCGGACCUUGCGCAAUUGAAUGAGCCGAUGUCGGAUUAGCUAGUUGGCGGGGUAAAGGCCCACCAAGGCGACGAUCCGUAGCUGGUCUGAGAGGAUGAUCAGCCACACUGGAACUGAGACACGGUCCAGACUCCUACGGGAGGCAGCAGUGGGGAAUAUUGGACAAUGGGCGCGAGCCUGAUCCAGCCAUACCGCGUGGGUGAAGAAGGCCUUCGGGUUGUAAAGCCCUUUUGUUGGGAAAGAAAAGCAGCAGGUUAAUACCCCGCUGUUCUGACGGUACCCAAAGAAUAAGCACCGGCUAACUUCGUG
rnacentral:rRNA from 1 species